rnacentral:rRNA from 1 species
UACGUAGGGUGCAAGCGUUAAUCGGAAUUACUGGGCGUAAAGCGUGCGCAGGCGGUGAUGUAAGACAGAUGUGAAAUCCCCGGGCUCAACCUGGGAACUGCAUUUGUGACUGCAUCGCUGGAGUACGGCAGAGGGGGAUGGAAUUCCGCGUGUAGCAGUGAAAUGCGUAGAUAUGCGGAGGAACACCAAUGGCGAAGGCAAUCCCCUGGGCCUGUACUGACGCUCAUGCACGAAAGCGUGGGGAGCAAACAGG